rnacentral:tRNA from 1 species
GGAGGAAUCAGCAAAGUUACUGCUAAUAACUUUCUGUCAGUUAAUUCUGACUUCCUCUU